UACGUAGGGGGCGAGCGUUGUCCGGAUUUACUGGGCGUAAAGCGCGUGUAGGCGGCUUGGCAAGUCGGAUGUGAAAGCCCACGGCUCAACCGUGGAAGCGCAUCCGAAACGGCCUCACUCGAGUCUCGGAGAGGAAGGUGGAAUGCUUGGUGUAGAGGUGAAAUUCGUAGAUAUCAAGCAGAACACCUGCGGCGAAGGCGGCCUUCUGGACGAUGACUGACGCUGAGACGCGAAAGCGUGGGGAGCAAACAGG
rnacentral:rRNA from 1 species